rnacentral:tRNA from 1 species
AGGGUUGUAGUUAAUAAUAACAUUUGAUUUGCAUUCAAAAAGUAUUGAAUUUAUAUUCAAUCUUU